rnacentral:rRNA from 1 species
CUCAGUAACACGUGGAUAACUUACCCUUAGGACUGGAAUAACCCCGGGAAACUGGGGAUAAUACCAGAUAAGCCAUAGACGCUGGAAUGCCCUAUGGUUCAAAGCUCCGGCGCCUAAGGAUGGAUCUGCGGUCUAUCAGGUUGUAGUGGGUGUAACGUACCUACUAGCCGACGACGGAUACGGGUUGUGAGAGCAAGAGCCCGGAGAUGGAUUCUGAGACACGAAUCCAGGCCCUACGGGGUGCAGCAGGCGCGAACACUUUACAAUGCGGGAAACCGCGAUAAGGGAACCCCGAGUGCCAGCAUCAAAUGUUGGCUGUCCAGAUGGUUAAAAAUCAUUUGUUAGCAAGGGCCGGGCAAGACCGGUGCCAGCCAAAAAAAAAAAACACCGGCGGCCCGAGUGGUAGCCGUUUUUAUUGGGUCUAAAGGGUCCGUAGCCGGCCUGAUAAGUCCUUUGGGAAAUCUGACAGCUUAACUGUCAGGCUUCUAAGGGAUACUGUCAGGCUUGGGACCGGAAGAGGUAAGGGGUACUCCAGGGGUAGGAGUGAAAUCUUGUAAUCCCUGGGGGACCAUCUGUGGCGAAGGCGCCUUACCAGAACGGGUCCGACGGUGAGGGACGAAAGCUAGGGGAGCAAACCGGAUUAGAUACCCGGGUAGUCCUAGCUGUAAACGAUGCUCGCUAGGUGUCAGCCUCGUCGACCGUGUUUGGUGCCGCAGGGAAGCCGCCGCCAGCCCCUGGGAAGUACGGUCGCAAGGCUGAAACUAAA